UAAUACGUAGGGGGCAAGCGUUGUCCGGAUUCAUUGGGCGUAAAGCUCGUGUAGGCGGCCAGGUAAGUCCGUUCUGAAAGCCCGGGGCUCAACCCCGGGAGGCGGAUGGAUACUGCUUGGCUCGAGUCCGGAAGAGGCGAGUGGAAUUCCCGGUGUAGCGGUGAAAUGCGCAGAUAUCGGGAGGAACACCAAUGGCGAAGGCAGCUCGCUGGGACGGUACUGACGCUGAGACGCGAAAGCGUGGGGAGCAAACAG
rnacentral:rRNA from 1 species